CCUACGGGUGGCAGCAGUGAGGAAUAUUGGUCAAUGGACGCAAGUCUGAACCAGUCAUGCCGCGUGCGGGAUGACGGCUCUAUGGGUUGUAAACUGCUUUUGUACGAGAAUAAACCGCGAUACGUGUAUCGGGUUGAAAGUAUCGUACGAAUAAGGAUCGGCUAACUCCGUGCCAGCAGCCGCGGUAAUACGGAGGAUCCGAGCGUUAUCCGGAUUUAUUGGGUUUAAAGGGUGCGUAGGCGGUUUGAUAAGUUAGAGGUGAAAUGCCGGGGCUCAACCCCGAAAUUGCCUUUAAUACUGUUGGACUAGAGAAUAGUUGCGGUAGGCGGAAUGUAUGGUGUAGCGGUGAAAUGCUUAGAGAUCAUACAGAACCCCGAUUGCGAAGGCAGCUUACCAAGCUAUAUCUGACGUUGAGGCACGAAAGCGUGGGGAGCAAACAGGAUUAGAUACCCUUGUAGUC
rnacentral:rRNA from 1 species